rnacentral:rRNA from 1 species
CCUACGGGAGGCUGCAGUGAGGAAUAUUGGUCAAUGGGCGGAAGCCUGAACCAGCCAAGUAGCGUGCGGGAUGAAGGCCCUACGGGUCGUAAACCGCUUUUGCACGGGGAUAACACCCUCCACUUGUGGAGGUCUGCAGUUACCGUUCGAAUCAGUGCCGGCUAAUUCCGUGCCAGCAGCCGCGGUAAUACGGAAGUCCCGAGCGUUAUCCGGAUUCAUUGGGCUUAAAGGGAGCGUAGGCGGGCGUUCAAGUCAGCUGUAAACUCGCGGGGCUAAACCGCGCCCCGCAGUUGAAACUGGACGCCUUGAGUUCACAACAGGCAGGCGGAAUUCGUGGUGUAGCGGUGAAAUGCAUAGAUAGCACGAGGAACCCCGAGUGCGAAGGCAGCCUGCCGGGGUGCGACUGACGCUGAGGCUCGAAGGUGCGGGUAGCAAACAGGAUUAGAUACCCUUGUAGUC